CCAUGCAAAUGCCUCGUCAUGCUAUAGCACUUCUAAACGGGGCUGCGGGUUGAGCACGUGAAGAGCCGUUUAUUAUCGGAGCAGAAGGAAUGGCAGCACCUUGUUUCAGUUCCUCUCCACAACUCAUGACUGUCAUGAUGCUUCCAGGCUCUAAUUUCUCUAUCUGCAGUUCUUUGCACUUAGCAAGAAGAGUGCAGUGGUUCAAGAAAGCCACCAUCAUCUCCAGGACAAUUACAGACAUGCACUAAAUGUUGGCAAAGACAGAAAUACCCACAUUCUGUGAAUAAAUAAAGAUAAAAAGAAUCUGUUGAUCACAGCCUCACUGA